rnacentral:tRNA from 7 species
UGGUCGGGAUAGCUCAGCUGGUAGAGCAGAGGACUGAAAAUCCUC